AUACGUAGGUGGCAAGCGUUGUCCGGAGUUUACUGGGCGUAAAGGGUGCGUAGGUGGAUAUUUAAGUGAGAUGUGAAAUCCCCGAGCUUAACUUGGGGCCUGCAUUUCAAACUGGAUAUCUAGAGUGCAGGAGAGGAGAAUGGAAUUCCUAGUGUAGCGGUGAAAUGCGUAGAGAUUAGGAAGAACACCAGUGGCGAAGGCGAUUCUCUGGACUGUAACUGACGCUGAGGCUCGAAAGCGUGGGUAGC
rnacentral:rRNA from 1 species